rnacentral:rRNA from 1 species
CAGUAGCCGCGGGAAUACGGAGGGUGCAAGCGUUAUCCGGAUUUAUUGGGUUUAAAGGGUCCGUAGGCGGAUCUGUAAGUCAGUGGUGAAAUCUCACAGCUUAACUGUGAAACUGCCAUUGAUACUGCAGGUCUUGAGUAAAUUUGAAGUGGCUGGAAUAAGUAGUGUAGCGGUGAAAUGCAUAGAUAUUACUUAGAACACCAAUUGCGAAGGCAGGUCACUAAGAUUUAACUGACGCUGAUGGACGAAAGCGUGGUGAGCGAACAGGAUUAGAUACCCCAGUAGUCCCUGUCUCUUAUAC